rnacentral:rRNA from 1 species
UACGAAGGGGGCAAGCGUUGUUCGGAAUUACUGGGCGUAAAGGGCGCGUAGGCGGCUUAUCAAGUCAGGCGUGAAAUUCCCGGGCUCAACCUGGGGGCUGCGCUUGAUACUGACUGGCUUGAAUGCGGGAGAGGAUAGUGGAAUUCCCAGUGUAGAGGUGAAAUUCGUAGAUAUUGGGAAGAACACCGGUGGCGAAGGCGGCUAUCUGGCCCGUAAUUGACGCUGAGGCGCGAAAGCGUGGGGAGCAAACAGG